AAGAGAGUUCGCAAGGGGGUGGGGUCGGCCGCGCCCGGGCGCCCGCUCAUUGGGCCCGGAGACCGUCACUCAGAGGAGUCAACUAAUUUUAUACAUUCCUCGCUGAGCUAGACCACGGCUGGGAGUGGGUGGUGGUGGGAAAAAAAAAAAAAAAAUGCUGCCUUUGCUGCUAUCUCUAAGAAAAGGGGGUAAAUGGUAUGGGCUAGAACCUUGCGGAUCGUGUUUUAAACUUCUCCUGGGGUAUUUACUACGUCCCAGAUCGGAAACGAAACUAACCCACCCCAGCCCCCUUUUUAAGGAAAAACAAUUGCCUCUGUGUCACGGGCAAGUACGAGUCCCGCAGCGCGUGGAGCAGAAAAUGGCUAGCUUUAAGUCAUGCAAAUAAAGGAAAACGGCAGCUCACUGUUCUUCCCUUUCAUCUUGGGACUGCUGGGUGUUCCCUUAGAUGGGGAAUUUAGAACUUCAAAAGCUCCGGAAAGGUUUGGACGAGAAAACCGCGCGACCCAGCUCUGAAUUGUUAUCCGGUGGCGUUAUCAGCCAUGUGCUGCUGCUUUUGCUUUUAGCGGUGAAAAUCACACCACACGAGCUUCGGACACACACAAAAAAAUGAAUCUCUGAAAGGCACAAGACAGUUUGAGUGUGAGAGGCUGUGAAGGUCUCAGGAGCUCCAGGACUUUUCUCCCCUCAAAUCAGCCAUAUUCUUCCUUGGAGAGAUUACCUUGAUCUGAGAGCCAAGAAGAUGACAUUGGAGCUAAGAUUUGAAGGCAAUGUGGAAGUGAGCCAUGUGAAUAUUCUCAGUCUCAAAGAGACUGACAGGCAAGGGGACCAGCCAGGGCAGAGCCCUUGAGGUGAGAGUGUGGCCCAUGUGCUCCAGCGAUAGCCGGAUGGACAGUGAAACUGGAGUGGUAUGAUCAAGGGGGCAAGUAGAACAGGGUCAUGUGAGAGCCAAGAAAGGGCCAAGUACAGGUCGUUGAAGGUCAUUGUAAAGAUUUUGGUUUUACUCUAAAAGAAAUGGGAGGCCAUUGAAGGAUUUUGAAGCAGAGGGGUGAUUUGAUUUGACGUACAUUAAAACGGUAUCACUCUGACUGCUGAGCAAGGGUGGAAUUAGGAAGAAUCAGAGAGACAAUUGGAAAAUUUUUGCAAUAAUGGUGAUACUCAAGGCAGUUGGUAUCAGGGAGGUAGUGGGAGUGCUUCAAUUCUGCGUGUGUUUUAAGAUAGAACCAAAAGAUUUCCUAUUAGACCUCAAGUGGAACGUGAGAAAGAAAGGAGUCAAAACUUGUGGUUCAGUCACUUUCAUUUCAAGAAAUAGUACCUCAGGAAGUAUAUUCAAAUUCAUUUCUUCCCUAUUAGGUCAGACCCAAAGUUCUUAAUUCGGUAAUCUCACAUAUGUAAAAAUAUUGUCUACAGUAAUAAUAAAAACAACACCCUACAACCUGUUAAGCAUCAAGUCCUUUAAUUCAACUACCUCAUGAGGCAGGUAUUAUUUUCCACUAUUUUUACAUGUGUAAACAGAGAUGUGAUUAAUAACCAACAGCUUAGGACCAACCGGAAACAGCCAAAUAUGCACCCCUAACCAUUAUGUAGGAUGCCGUGCUUCUAGUUAGCCCAGCUACAUCUUCCUCAUGCCAAUAGCCACAUACCUGAAGCCUUCCUCUUUUUUCACUGUAAAGCUUUCCCACUCCUCUAUCUUUCUCGAGUCUCUGUUAAGACACAAGUGAAGGUGGCUGACUUCCUUGCAAGUUUGAAAUAACUAGCCUUUGCUUAUUCUCAUUUAAUUGGUCUUCAUUUAUUUUUAUUGGGGUCUUAGGUCAGGUUCCCUGGGAAAUGGACUUUGAGAUCCCGACCUGAGGGUAGGUUAUUGAGGAGCACUUUCUAGAUCAUCCCCUCUGAAGGGGAUGAUGGGAACAGCACGGGGCAGAGAGAGAAGCUGAACAACGACACAAUAGUUGCACUACAGCUUUAAUGGAUCUCAUGGGGAGCUCUGAGUCGGGAUGGCGCUUCAGAAAUGUACCCUGGCCUGGAUCAGUUGUUGGAUGUAGCCUACCCUUGGGAAAGGAGAGGAGCCUUAGGUGAAGGAGAUCUCUUUGACCAAAGAUAAGUCCAAAGGGAGAUCCUAGCUGUGAACUCUCAGCAGCCAAUACGCUGAACAGCUGGGGAACAAGUGCUUGGAUCCCCUUCAGAGCAGGGGAAGGGUGGAGAUUAGGUGACCCUACCAAACACACGGCUGGCAGCAGAUCAUGACUCUAAUGUAACUUCAAAUCCAAAUUUAAAGCUUCCUUCACUACAGCAUAGCUGCCUUCACUAAAAAAUAAACGACGUGUGGAGAUUCUGUGACCAUUUAUUUUCUGUCCUCCUACUCCAAAACCAAGAUCACAUUUGUAAAGUGAUUCUGAUGUUUUUGGGAAGUGAUUGUGAGCAUAGUGGUUGACUCAACUGAAUGUGGCGUCUAAAAGAUCUGAAAUAAAACCCAACCACACAAAGCAGUUAACUGAAUUGCCACAUAUAGCCAUUUAUAUCAUCUUAAUACUAUGGUACUUUACUAAAUGUUUUUCUCUCUCAGUGGAGUAGAACAUUGUGACACCCAGCUGUCCAGCUUGAGAUGUUGAUAAAUUGAAAAUAAAUUGAUAUGAAAAUAGUAUCAUUCCUACCUUAAGGCUAUUCAUCCCCUAGUGAAAAUUAUUCCACCUUAGUUUAAAUAUUAAUAAAGUAUAUCUUAGAAGUCAGUACAAUAUGAAUUUAUUCCUUAAAAGAAUCUAGUUCCCUACAUUAUUUUCAUCACUAGUGUUACAUGGUCAUUGCAGCACUUUUGGCUUUACUUGAGCUAGUUAAACUCAAUGCUUCUUUUUUUGGUUUUACACACAAAUCGGCAGAUACCGUAUCCAGCAAUGGGAAUUUUCCUGAAGAUUAUCAAAAAACAUACACCCAGUUCUGUCUACGAAUUGGUCUGAGUAGUCCCUUUAUUUGAAAAUAAAUCUGUGACUUCUAAAAAAAAAUCUGUCAGCAUAUUCUCUCACUAUCACAAGACCUUUUGAAUAUAUUACUCAUUGUUCCCAGAGC